CCUACGGGAGGCAGCAGUGGGGAAUUUUGGACAAUGGGCGCAAGCCUGAUCCAGCCAUGCCGCGUGUCUGAAGAAGGCCUUCGGGUUGUAAAGGACUUUUGUCCGGGAGCAAAUCCCAGUGGUUAAUACCUACUGGGGCUGAGAGUACCGGAAGAAUAAGCACCGGCUAACUACGUGCCAGCAGCCGCGGUAAU
rnacentral:rRNA from 1 species